AGCACAGUUGGGCAGAAGGGAAGCCCUGCAAAGGGUAGCAUGCACAGCAGGAGGGAGAACACAUAGGAGUAAUUUGCUGACAGAUAAGCAAAGAUGGAUCUGAUUUCAGUUUUCUCCCCGGAAAUCUGGGUCCUCCUGGCAAUCAGUCUCAUGCUCCUCUACUGGUUUGGGACUCGUACACAUGGAGUUUUUAAGAAACAGGGAAUUCCUGGGCCCACACCUCUGCCCUUUUUAGGAACUGUACUGAAUUACUACAAGGGUAUUUGGAAAUAUGAUGCAGAAUGCUAUAAAAAGUAUGGAAAAAUAUGGGGGUGAGUAUUCUGGAAAGUUCCAUCAAGUCAACUCUUUUUAGGAGAAGGUGCCCUACUUAUGCAAGGACAAUACCAGCCCAGAACUGUAGUAAUGGGCAUCUCUUUUGUGAAGGUAAUUGGACUGGAGAAUUCGAUACUACGAUGGAGCAGCUGAGAGUGGCCAUUGUCACAGUAAAUUCUACCGGAGUGGACGCAGGACUAGCCACAGGAUUAUCAACAUGGAUUGCUGCAGCCAUGAAUCAUCUGAAGGAAUGGGCGGGCAUGGGAGUGUUAGCAGGCCUUCUGGUGUUGGUCUCCUUGGUUUGCCUGUGGUAUAUAUGCAAGAUUAGAGUCUCACAACAGUGUGAUGCAGCCAUGAUCAUUCAGGCCUUUACAGCCAUUGAAGCAGGACAUUGUCCCCAAGCAUGGUUGGAUACCAUAAGAAGCUAAAAUGAUACGCUCAGGAUGCGAGGCUAAGCACUGCACUCAGGGUCAGCUGCUUUCGACCCAGAGAAGAGCAUGUCUGAUUGCAUGCGGGUUGAUGCCCCAGGUCCCGCCUCUGAGAAAAAGGUAUCGGACGGGUCUGAUGCUCUUUGGGUGGAUGACACCUAAAUGAACAUCUGUACAAAGUCCCAAUUUAUUUCUAAUAUCAGAGAUCAGACCUCUACUCUUGCCUGAUGCGUCUAAAACAAAAAGGGGGAACUGUAGAGAGCUGCGGAAUGCUAUGCCUUAAAGAUGGAGCUGGUUUCCGCCUUCCACCUUCCCGAUGGUGAGUGCUCUCUGUCACGAACAACUCCACAUUUGGCUAAGGCCGAGGAUCUGGCUUGCUUCCAUGUAUGUGGACCUAUCUGCAUUGCCCCCGUGGCACGCCUGGGUUGGCUACCCAGAGGCUAUUUAAGCUGUGGGCUGGCUUUCCCCGGGGUCCGAGCAUUGUUCAAUGUUCCUGAAUAAACUGCAUUGAAAAAAGAAUAAACGAUUAUUUAUUAAUAAUUAUAUUUAUUAGUAAUGCAUAUUAAUAAAUAAUUACUUAUUUCUUACAAA